UACGGGGGGGGCAAGCGUUGUUCGGAAUUACUGGGCGUAAAGGGCUCGUAGGUGGCCAACUAAGUCGGACGUGAAAUCCCUCGGCUUAACCGGGGAACUGCGUCUGAUACUGGAUGGCUUGAGUUCGGGAGAGGGAUGCGGAAUUCCAGGUGUAGCGGUGAAAUGCGUAGAUAUCUGGAGGAACACCGGUGGCGAAGGCGGCAUCCUGGACCGACACUGACGCUGAGGAGCGAAAGCCAGGGGGAGCAAACGGG
rnacentral:rRNA from 1 species